CGUGGGUAACCUGCCCAAGAGAUCGGGAUAACACCUGGAAACAGAUGCUAAUACCGGAUAACAACAGAUGAUGCCUAUCAACUGUUUAAAAGAUGGUUCUGCUAUCACUCUUGGAUGGACCUGCGGUGCAUUAGCUAGUUGGUAGGGUAACGGCCUACCAAGGCGAUUAUGCAUAGCCGAGUUGAGAGACUGAUCGGCCACAUUGGGACUGAGACACGGCCCAAACUCCUACGGGAGGCAGCAGUU
rnacentral:rRNA from 1 species